rnacentral:rRNA from 1 species
UACAGAGGUCCCAAGCGUUGUUCGGAUUCAUUGGGCGUAAAGGGUGCGUAGACGGCAUGAUAAGUUAGCGGUGGGAAAUCGAGGCUCAACCUCGUGGAAGCUGGUAAUACUGUCAUGCUUGAGUAUAGGAGAGGUUAAUGGAACUCCCUGUGGAGCGGUAAAAUGCGUAGAUAUAGGGAAGAACAUCAAUAACGGCGAAGGCAGUUAACUAUUCUAUUACUGACGUUGAGAGCACGAAAGCGUGGGGAGCAAAACGG